GGGUCAGUAGGUUGGUCGUGCCACCGGUACGUACUGGUCUCACUGAUUCCUCCUUCCUGAAGAACCGUAAUGCCAUUAAUUUGGUGUUGCGGGGAAACAGGACUGUUACUUUGAAAAAAUUAGAGUGUUUAAAGCAAGCUAACGCUCGAAUACAUUAGCAUGGAAUAAUGAAAUAGGACGAUCGAUCCUAUUUUGCUGGUUUCUAGGAUUGACGUA
rnacentral:rRNA from 1 species